rnacentral:lncRNA from 10 species
AAAAGAAUUCUUAAAGAAAGGAAAUGGCUACUGUACAUACCAUGGAGUGGGAGUGGAACAAAAGUAGGUAGAACUUCAGUAGCCUAGGAUGGUUUCAGAAACAUUGAUGAACUGUAGUUAAGACAGGCUUAGAAAACACUGUAAUUGAAAAUUUAAUACUUUUGUAAUAAAGGAUAAUUGGCAGAAAAACAAUAAACUGCCUUGUUGGUUUGCUGAUAAUUGUAUAGGUCAAGAGAAAGUAUUAAAAAGGGGCAUUUAAGAAAUGUUUAUUAUAUCUGUUUCAGAAGUUAAAAUUCUAAAGAGUAAAAAAUAUUAUAAUUAUCUUGGAGAUGAAGGGGAAGUGGUAGGUUCUGUAAUUUGCAAAAAGUAUAUGUUCCAGAACAAUUAUCGAGGAAAUGAGAGAUUGUGCCUUGGGAAAAUAUACAUUUUCCUCUACCAGGCCUGGGAAAGUUAUGCCUGAUGUUGGCAAAUUCUGGUGCUGGAGGGAGUGGGGGCUAUCUAAGAUAUUGUUGAGAACCUUGAAGGCUCUUUAAAUUCUACUCUUUUUGCAAGCUAGCAUGCAAACCUGUGACAAAUUUACAAAUGGUGGUAGAAGAUAUGAGACUCCUUGGUCAGAAACAAAGGAUUUUAAUAUUCACAGCAAUAGGAUUAGCCAUAGUAACAGCAUUGUGUUGCACAGUUCACCAAACCUUAAUUUUUAGAAAGUAAAGGGAAGGGAACCACUGGACAAUUGCACACACGGUGGACCACUUUGGGAAAAGGAUUUUUAUAAUGGGCAGUAAAUAUGCAUAUCCACUGCUCCAGAUGGAGACAUUAUCUCUAUAUUCCAUAGCUGUUUACUCUAAAAAUAUCCUUGAAGAUGUAGUUUGGAACAGGGUGGUCAGUGCCUCUAUUUGCAAUACAUAUAUGAGACAGCUUAAGGAUGUCUCUUCCCCUAACAGGUGGAUGCUACUAUUCUCAUCAGCAGUACUGAAUACCAAAAUGCUAGGAUACAAUAUCUUAAAAAUAUUUUUAACCCAGUAUUUAAUUUCCAACAAAACUCAAAAAAGCUAGUGGGAAGGCAGAAUAGCGGUUUCUUUUUCGGUCAUGAAUAAAACCACAAAUUUACUUCUAAUAUAACAAAUUCUUAAGAUGAGUUUAAUCAUCAACUAUCAUUACAGGAAGCAAGUAAUUGAUGUUUAAAACUGAAAAAUCAAGAGCACUAUAAAUAUAUCAUUUAAGAAUAAAGAAAUAGGUGCCAAGAAAAUCUUAACAAUUUGGAAUUAAUUGCAUUUUGAAAGUGAAUAUGGGGGUUUGGCAGGUAUAUGUAGUUAUAGGUACAAUACAGAUACAGAUAGAGAUAAAGAUAUAGAUGUAGAAAUAAUAUGGAUGUUUACGUGGACAUGAAUGUGUAUGUGGACAUGUUUGUGGACAAGUUCAUAUAUACAUACAUGUAUGUGUGGCUGUGCCAGUGAAUGUUUUGCAAAUUUCAAUUUUUUUAAUGCUAUAGAUUUUCUUAAUCUCAUUUUUUAAAUAUUUUAUGUGAUUAGCCUAUUAUGUUUUAUGUUUUAUCUAUCCUGAGAAUGUAUGUUCCCUGAAGGAAGAUCUUUGAAAUACCUUAAGAACAUAGAACAUGAAAUGAGUACUUGUAGAAUCACUAAAUUCAGCAACCAAGACAGUGAACAUUCAUGUUAUAGAAGAUUGAAAUUUUGUUCUCCCAAAUAUUGAAAAUAUUUUGACACCAAGAAGAAGACAGCAUAUCUGAAUGGAAAGAGCCAGAGAGUUCGAGUAGAGGAACUUCAUAACUUGUUUGCUCCAUACAAUAUGUGACACAACUUCUCAACCUAUAAUUUGGGAGAAUAACAUUUAUUAUCAAAAGUUUUCUUUAAUUAAAAAUUAAAUGAAAUAAACAUGGAGACAACCUGUCUUAUGAUGGAGGUACCUGUCAUAAUAAAUGAUGACUGAGCCUG